rnacentral:rRNA from 1 species
UACGUAGGGUGCGAGCGUUAAUCGGAAUUACUGGGCGUAAAGCGUGCGCAGGCGGUUCGCCAAGUCAGGUGUGAAAUCCCCGGGCUUAACCUGGGAAUUGCGCUUGAAACUAGCGGGCUUGAGUGUGGCAGAGGGGGGUGGAAUUCCACGUGUAGCAGUGAAAUGCGUAGAGAUCGGGAGGAAGGCCGGUGGCGAAGGCGGCGCUCUGGAACGUACCUGACGCUGAGACACGAAAGCGUGGGGAGCAAACAGG